GGGGAAUCUUGCACAAUGCGCGAAAGCGUGAUGCAGCAACGCCGCGUGGGGGAAGAAGGCCUUCGGGUUGUAAACCCCUUUCAGUUGGGACGAAGCUUCGUCGGUGAAUAGCCGGCCGGAGUGACGGUACCUUCAGAAGAAGCCCCGGCUAACUACGUGCCAGCAGCCGCGGUAAUACGUAGGGGGCAAGCGUUGUCCGGAAUCAUUGGGCGUAAAGCGCGUGUAGGCGGUUCGAUACGUCUGCUGUGAAAGUCCAGGGCUCAACCCUGGGAUGCCGGUGGAUACUGUCGGGCUAGAGUACGGAAGAGGCGAGUGGAAUUCCCGGUGUAGCGGUGAAAUGCGCAGAUAUCGGGAGGAACACCAAUUGCGAAGGCAGCUCGCUGGGACGUCACUGACGCUGAGACGCGAAAGCGUGGGGAGCAAAC
rnacentral:rRNA from 1 species